rnacentral:rRNA from 1 species
GACGAACGCUGGCGGCGUGCCUAAUACAUGCAAGUAGAACGCUGAAGGGAGAGCUUGCUCUUCUGGAUGAGUUGCGAACGGGUGAGUAACGCGUAGGUAACCUGCCUGGUAGUGGGGGAUAACUAUUGGAAACGAUAGCUAAUACCGCAUAAUAACAGUUGUUGCAUGACAACUGUUUGAAAGGUGCAAUUGCAUCACUACCAGAUGGACCCGCGUUGUAUUAGCUAGUUGGUGGGGUAACGGCUCACCAAGGCGACGAUACAUAGCCGACCUGAGAGGGUGAUCGGCCACACUGGGACUGAGACACGGCCCAGACUCCUACGGGAGGCAGCAGUAGGGAAUCUUCGGCAAUGGACGAAAGUCUGACCGAGCAACGCCGCGUGAGUGAAGAAGGUUUUCGGAUCGUAAAGCUCUGUUGUAAGAGAAGAACGAGUGUGAGAGUGGAAAGUUCACACUG